AUCAUGUACUGGAUCAAGGAAUCUUAAGUCUAGAACUUGGAUUAAAACAGUAUUGGAUUGGUAACUCUUCCAAAAUCUAGCAAAAGCAAAUACAAGGAGAUGUCAUCAUCCAAUGCAUCAGAGGUCCAAAACACAAACUAAGAUAAUCACCAUAGAAAGACAUAAGAUCCACUUACGAAGGAAAAAAAAUAAAAAGACAGC
rnacentral:lncRNA from 1 species